UGCAAGUCGAGGGGUAGCAGGGUAGCAAUAUCGCUGACGACCGGCGCACGGGUGAGUAACGCGUAUGCAACCUUCCUUUAACUGGGGCAUAGCCCGGAGAAAUUCGGAUUAAUACCCCAUAAUAUUUCAGGAACACAUGUUUUUGGAAUUAAAGCUCCGGCGGUUAAAGAUGGGCAUGCGUGCCAUUAGCUAGUUGGUGAGGUAACGGCUCACCAAGGCUACGAUGGUUAGGGGGUCUGAGAGGAUGAUCCCCCACACUGGUACUGAGACACGGACCAGACUCCUACGGGAGGCAGCAGUGAGGAAUAUUGGGCAAUGGGCGCAAGCCUGACCCAGCCAUGCCGCGUGAAGGAUGAAUGCCCUAUGGGUUGUAAACUUCUUUUGUACGGGACGAAACUUUUGGUCGUGACCGAAAUUGACUGUACCGUAUGAAUAAGCAUCGGCUAACUCCGUGCCAGCAGCCGCGGUAAUACGGAGGAUGCAAGCGUUAUCCGGAUUCAUUGGGUUUAAAGGGUGCGUAGGCGGAAUAAUAAGUCAGCGGUGAAAGCCUGUGGCUUAACCAUAGAAUUGCCGUUGAUACUGUUAUUCUUGAGUAUAGUUGAAGUGGGCGGAAUGUGUAAUGUAGCAGUGAAAUGCUUAGAUAUUACACAGAACACCAAUUGCGAAGGCAGCUCACUAAGCUGUUACUGACGCUGAGGCACGAAAGCGUGGGGAGCAAACAGGAUUAGAUACCCUGGUAGUCCACGCUGUAAACGAUGAUCACUCGUUGUUGGCGAUACACCGUCAGCGACUGAGCGAAAGCAAUAAGUGAUCCACCUGGGGAGUACGGCGGCAACGCUGAAACUCAAAGGAAUUGACGGGGGCCCGCACAAGCGGAGGAACAUGUGGUUUAAUUCGAUGAUACGCGAGGAACCUUACCUGGGCUUGAAAGGGGAAUGACAUCCCGGGAAACCGGGAUUCUCUUCGGAGCAUUCUCCUAGGUGCUGCAUGGUUGUCGUCAGCUCGUGCCGUGAGGUGUCGGGUUAAGUCCCAUAACGAGCGCAACCCCUAUUGUUAGUUGCCAGCGGGUAAUGCCGGGAACUCUAACGAAACUGCCGGUGUAAACCGAGAGGAAGGUGGGGAUGACGUCAAAUCAGCACGGCCCUUAUGUCCAGGGCUACACACGUGUUACAAUGGUCGGUACAAAGGGCAGCUAUGCCGCGAGGCAAUGCUAAUCUCCAAAACCGGUCUCAGUUCGGAUCGAAGUCUGCAACUCGACUUCGUGAAGCUGGAUUCGCUAGUAAUCGCGCAUCAGCAAUGGCGCGGUGAAUACGUUCCCGGGCCUUGUACACACCGCCCGUCAAGCCAUGGAAGCUGGGGGUACCUGAAGUCUGCGACCGAAAGGAGCGGCCUAGGGUAAAACCAGUGACUGGGGCUAAGUCGAAACAAGGUA
rnacentral:rRNA from 1 species